GUGACUGUGGCGGUGGAGGAGGAGGAUGAGGUAGCCAACACUGUUUUUUUUAUAUAUAUAUAUUUUUUAUUGGGGUAGCCCCCAAAAUAUUGGGACAUAUAAAAAAGACUACUCUGUUCCGCAGAGUAGCUGUUGACAUUAUAGUUGCGCAGGCACUUUGUUGACUCUAGAAAACCUUGGGUCAAUCGCACAUGCCCAUGACGGCGACUUGAUAUCAAACCAUGAUAUCAACUUUUGAUGCCAAUUUCUGCUCCUACCAUGGUGACUACAAGUAACGGGGAAUCAGGGUUCCAUUCCGUACAGGGACCCUGAGAAACGGCUACCACAUGCAAGGAAGGCA